GAUGAACGCUGGCGGCGUGCCUAAUACAUGCAAGUCGAGCGAACGGACGAGAAGCUUGCUUCUCUGAUGUUAGCGGCGGACGGGUGAGUAACACGUGGAUAACCUACCUAUAAGACUGGGAUAACUUCGGGAAACCGGAGCUAAUACCGGAUGAUAUUUUGAACCGCAUGGUUCAAAAGUGAAAGACGGUCUUGCUGUCACUUAUAGAUGGAUCCGCGCUGCAUUAGCUAGUUGGUAAGGUAACGGCUUAUCAAGGCAACGAUGCGUAGCCGACCUGAGAGGGUGAUAGGCCACACUGGAACUGAGACAGGGUCCAGGCUCCUGAGGGAGGCAGCAGUAGGGAAUCUGCCGCAAUGGGCGAAAGCCUGACGGAGCAGCGCCGCGUGAGUGAUGAAGGUCUUCGGAUCGUAAAACUCUGUUAUUAGGGAAAAACAGAUGUGUAAGUAACUGUUCACAUCUUGACGGUACCUAAUCAGAAAGCCACGGCUAACUACGUG
rnacentral:rRNA from 1 species